rnacentral:rRNA from 1 species
CCCUUAGAUGUUCUGGGCCGCACGCGUGCUACACUGAGUAAUUCAAUGGGUAAGGGAACGCUAGAGCAUUACCUAAUCUUGAAAUUUGCUCGUGAUGGGGAUCGACGGUUGCAAUUUUCCGUCGUGAACGAGGAAUACCUUGUAGGCGCAUGUCAUCAUCAUGCGCCGAAUACGUCCCUGCCCUUUGUACACACCGCCCGUCGCUCCUACCGACUGAGUGAUCCGGUGAGGCUCUGGGACCUGGACGGAAAGAGCGUUUCGCUUGUUCUGUUUGGGAAACUUGGUCGAACCUUAUCAUUUAGAGGAAGGAGAAGUCGUAACA